UAAAUAUAAAGUAUAUAGAGUUUAUCUAAGAAGACUAACACAUUUGAUUUUACGAGUCAUUGUUUCAUCUGUAAAAAUUAUUUAUUCUAUGCUUUGUGUGUGUGUACACAGUAUAAAAACCAUUACGCCUAUGGAGUCCCCGUAAACCACCAAUGCAGGAUGAAUCCCAGACUUGCAAGGCGUAUAGCAGAGGGUAUUGCAAGCUGCUGUAAAAUGUUUUGGUCGUGUUUUUGUUCAGGGUGCCACUCACUCAUUCAGUAUACAGCAAAAAAGCCCCAGACCAUCACGCUUCCACCUCCACGUUUGACUCGUUCCUCCUCCGUCCUUUCACCUACUCAACAAAACCUGUGUGACAAACACAAGAUUUCACAUUUUGACUCAUCGGUCGAGACCUUCCACCUCCAGGAGUCCAUUGACAAUGCCCAGCUGGGAGCUGCAGAUCUCGCUCAGGCCCGGUCUGACUUACCAGAGAGCUGAACAAUGACCUAUGUGAGGAAAGUAAUCUAAUUCAGCGCUCAGAAGUUAUUUGAAUAUAGAAUGUUAAUGUAGACACUACUCUCAAAAGUUUGGGGUCGAUAAGAUUUUUUGUAAUGUUUUUGAAAGAAUUCUCUUAUGCAUUUAUUUGA